rnacentral:rRNA from 1 species
GACGAACCGAGCGACCGUUAUUCGGAAUCACUGGGCUUAAAGGGCGCGUAGGCGGGCGAUCAAGUCAGGGGUGAAAGCCCCCAGCUCAACUGGGGAAGUGCCUCUGAUACUGGUCAUCUCGAGGGAGGUAGGGGCGUGCGGAACUUCCGGUGGAGCGGUGAAAUGCGUAGAUAUCGGAAGGAACACCGGUGGCGAAAGCGGCGCGCUGGACCUCUUCUGACGCUGAGGCGCGAAAGCCAGGGGAGCGAACGGG